AGUCCCCUGGAAGACGACCAGGUUGAUAGGCCGGAUGUGUAAGCAUGGUAACAUGUUCAGCUAACCGGUACUAACGGACGAAUGCUUGGCCACA
rnacentral:rRNA from 1 species